rnacentral:rRNA from 1 species
CCUACGGGCGGCAGCAGUGAGGAAUAUUGGUCAAUGGCCGCAGGGCUGAACCAGCCAAGUCGCGUGAGGGAUGACGGUCCUAUGGAUUGUAAACCUCUUUUGUCAGGGAGCAAAGGGCGCCACGUGUGGCGCUUUGCGAGUACCUGAAGACAAAGCAUCGGCGAACUCCGUGCCAGCAGCCGCGGUAAUACGGAGGAUGCGAGCGUUAUCCGGAUUUAUUGGGUUUAAGGGGUGCGCAGGCGGAAUGUCAAGUCAGCGGUAAAAUUUCGGGGCUCAACCCCGUCGUGCCGUUGAAACUGGCGUUCUUGAGUGAGCGAGAAGUAUGCGGAAUGCGUGGUGUAGCGGUGAAAUGCAUAGAUAUCACGCAGAACUCCGAUUGCGAAGGCAGCAUACCGGCGCUCAACUGACGCUCAUGCACGAAAGCGUGGGUAUCGAACAGGAUUAGAUACCCCUGUAGUC